UACGUAGGUGACAAGCGUUGUCCGGAUUUACUGGGCGUAAAGAGCGCGCAGGCGGUCGUUCAAGUCGAGUGUGAAAGCCCCCGGCUCAACUGGGGAGGGUCAUUCGAUACUGAUCGACUCGAAGGCAGGAGAGGGAAGUGGAAUUCCCGGUGUAGUGGUGAAAUGCGUAGAUAUCGGGAGGAACACCAGUGGCGAAGGCGGGUCUCUGGACAGUUCCUGACGCUGAGGCACGAAGGCCAGGGGAGCAAACGGG
rnacentral:rRNA from 1 species